AUAGUAUUGGCCCAAAGCUCUAAACUUGUUGGACGGAUCCGAUUAACUUCCCUACUAAAAUCACUACUAUCUUACUCCGGUACAGGAAAAAAAUAAGAGAAAACAAUAGAGCAAAAUAGAACAUCCCUGACUUCAGGCGCCGCUGCCCCGCCGGUGUUCAGCCGCUGCCCUGAAUCGUCGCUUUACUCUAUUCGCCUGCGUCCAACACCACACCUCAAUUUUAGUGGCUUCAAGCUUGAAGAACCAAUUUCUCAUAUUUGAUUUUUUAAAAAAGAAAUUUUCAAUGGUCGAAGAAGUAUGGUCAUGAUGCUCCGAAGUUGCAAAGACUUGCUAUCAAUAUCUUGAGCUUAACUUGUAGUGCAUCCGGGUGUGAGCGCAAUUGAAGUGUUUUCGAGCAAAAAAGCAUGUAUUAGCCGUUAGAAAAGAUUGGGGAAAAGAUUGGCGACCCACCCAAAACGCUCGUCCCCGCCGACCCAGCCGACCCCGCCGACCCAGCGCGACCCAUGCAUCUCGAUCAACCCACCCAUGUUGGGGCGGUGUUGGUCUCGACCCGGGCCACCCUUAUCUAUUCAAUUGAAGGAACGGAGGUGAAGGCAAUCAGGGGAAAUCUUUCAACACGAAAGUCACUAAAUUUCUAGAGCAUCAUCAAUUACCAACUUUGGAAUGCCAUUCAAAAAUCUUUUCCCAAAUAAUCAAUUUGUUAUUCUUAAGCAACUACCAGAAUCAUCCCUGCCGCUGCUAAGUCUUCAGAGAAGAUUCAGUUGUUCGUCGCAACCUGAUUCUUCCAACUGGGUUCAAAACAACCAGUUGUUUCAAAGGCACCCCAGGUUGCAACUUUUCGAGAAAGGACGGAUGAAAACACUUCAUCAUCUCAAGCAAUUUGUUGCUUACGUAUUUGUAACGGGUCUUCACCGCAACCCCUUCAUCAUGAGUCGCAUAAUCUAUUUGAGCUUGGUCGAGUCAGAAGAAUGUAACCAUAUCGAUAAUUCUAAGUUUGGAAUUCAGAUCUUCAGUAGGAUCGAAAGACCCAAUAUUUUUUCCUGGAAUACCCUGAUUAGAUUCUUCUCCGGGUUAGAUCCCAUGAUUGCUCUGCAUUUUUACACGAAAAUGGUUAGAGAAAGAAUACUCCCCGACACAUAUACAUUCACAUUCUUGCUCCAGGCUGGUGGGCCUAGUUUGGAUCUGUUUUUUGUUAAACAAGUUCAUUGCCAUGCUCUGAAAUUCGGUUUCAAUCACAAUUUGUUUGUUCAGAAUUCCGUACUCAGUGCCUAUGCAAUUCGGGACUCGGCAAUGGAUGCACGGAAUGUGUUCGAUGAAAUGUCGAACAAAGAUGUCGUUACAUGGACGAGCUUGAUAUCCGGGCUCGUCGCACAUUCCAAUUACAUGGAAGCACUUCGAGUUUUCAAAGAUUUGAUGGCCGAUGACUGCCAACCACAUCCAAAUGUUGUCACCACCAUCUCUGCAAUAUCAGCUUGUGGUGGUCUAGGAUAUGCAAAUCUUACUAAAUGCUUCCACGCUUUAUUAGAGAAGGCUGGAUGGAUCGAAACUGACGUUUCUAUUUCUAAUUCCCUGAUUGACGCCUAUGCAAAAUGUGGAGAUUUAAGCAACGCAACUAGAGUUUUCAAUGAAAUUCAGAAUGUGAAGAAGGAUUUGUAUUCUUGGACGGCCGUUAUCACAUCAUACGGUAUGCAUGGCCGAGGACUAGAUGCACUGUGUGUGUUCUAUCAAAUGGAUCCACUCCACGAACUUGCACCCGAUGCAGUGACCCUUGUCGCGAUUCUUUCAGCAUGCGCACACUCUGGCCUGCUCGACCAAGGUUUGUGCAUUUUUGAGUUGAUGUGGAGAAGGUACAAAAUUAAGCCUGACCUUCGUCACUAUGGAUGCAUUGUUGAUCUCUUGGGAAGAGCUGGGAUGAUUAAACGAGCUUAUAGUGUUGUUGAGAGCAUGCCGAUGGAGCCUAAUCUGGCUGUAUUGGGAUCUUUACUGAGUAGUUGUAGGCUUCACAAUGAGUUGGAGUUUGGUGAAGCAGUUUUAAGAAAGAUCGAGCUUUUGAAAGAGAGAGGAGGAGCCUCGGUGCUCAUAUCUAAUAUGUAUGCUAGUAAGAACGAAUGGGAUAGAGUGGUUAACGUAAGGAACAAAAUGAGAGAGAGAAUGAAAGGAAAGGUUUCUGGUAGAAGUUGGAUUCAGGUUAAAGAUGCAGUUCAUGAGUUUGUUGCAAGAAAUGAUGUUGAUCCAAAACUGCACAUGGUACUUCGAAGUUUGGAAAAGCUCUCUACACUGUUCUGUCUGAUAUCUGCUCGCCGUCCACCUGCCUCAUUCUUCAUCGGGCUAAUUGUCUUCAAUUUUGUACAAAUAUUUCUUCACUCUGCCGCUCGAUGUCGUCCGCAUUCGAUUUCAAUCUCAUUGAUUCACCAGAACGUAAUUUUCGUUGAUCAACUGUUUAGUAAUGUGCAAACCCAUGAAAGCUGCAAAUGUUGAAAAUGGGAUGAAAUAUUUGUGUGCAGAAUUAGGUAAAAUGGGAUAAGCAGCAGGAGGUGGAAGUUGGCAUUCAUCCCCAUUUAAGUAAAUCUUCCUUGGAAACACUCAUCCCUGUUCGAGUGUAAACAAACAUAUCCCUGUCCUUCUUCAAGAGUCUCGGAUUGAACAUUUUCAAACUCCCCGGCCUACAUGACUAGGUCGUCGUAGAAGAUGACUCAAACAAGACAUGUGUGAGAUGUGGACUCACUGUGUGAAGUUCAUCCCGUAGUCGAAGUUGGUGAUGGCGAUCUCAACACGCUGGUAGUCUCUGUAGUUGAGCUUCAUGUGCCAGUGGACGUGUAUGAGCCAUAUGUGUGCGGGACCGUGCAUUGUUGAUGCAUAUUGAAUUAACGCAAGGGGUUUGACAAUUACGACGACACUUUUCUAGUUCAAACAGGCGGACGGUCAUCCACAUUCAGGAGCAUCUUCCCGGAUUCGUGUUUCUUGAAAAGCCUCCCAACAACUUCGUCCCAGUUGGUCCUCGCGUCUUUACAAACAGCAUGAGGUAUAUUCAAACUUACGGCUCUCUCCAACGCAUCCUUGUGCUCCUUUUCUAAUGUCAGCUUCCUGUUGAAUUUCUGUACCCCUGGCGGAGUAGUUACGGUCUCUGUAUUAAGCUCCUGCAUAUUCUGCAUCACG